rnacentral:rRNA from 1 species
AUUGAGCGCUGGCGGCAUGCCUUACACAUGCAAGUCGAACGGCAGCACGGGGGCGAACCCUGGUGGCGAGUGGCGAACGGGUGAGUAAUACAUCGGAACGUGCCCACGUAGUGGGGGAGUAGCCCGGCGAAAGACCGGAUUAAUACCGCAUGCGACCUACGGGUGGAAAGCGGGGGAGUCGCAAGACCUCGCGCUGUUGGAGCGGCCGAUGUCAGAUUAGGUUGUUGG